UUCUAAUAGAAAUAUUUAUUAGUAAAAUCUGCUCAAUGAAAUUUUUAAAUAGCCGCAAUUAUUUUUGUGCUAAGGUAGCAUAAUCAUUUGUCUUUUAAUUAAAGACUAGAACGAAAGAUAUUACAUUUAAACUUCUAUAUUAAUUUAAAUUUACAAAUUAUUUUAAGUAUAAAAAAAUACUUAUAUAUAAAAAAGACGAUAAGACCCUAUUAAACUUAACUUUAGUUUAACUGGGGUAGUUAAUUAAUUAUUAUUUUAAUUUAAAUAAAAGGAAAAAUUGAUCUUAAAAAUUAAAUUAAAUAAUCAAGUUACUAUAGGGAUAACAGCGUAAUUAUUAUUUAAAGCUCUUAUAAUAAAAAUAGAUUACGACCUCGAUGUUGAAUAAUUAUUCUAGUAAAUGCAAUAAUUUAACUUUUAAGAAAGUCUGUUCGACUUUUAAUUAAUUACA
rnacentral:rRNA from 1 species